rnacentral:lncRNA from 1 species
GGCGCCCACCGUAAGCCUCCCGGGCCUUGUGAACCUGCAAACCCAAGUCUGAGAGACGAUCCGCCUUCAGCGCUUUCCAGCUUGGCAGAGAGGCUUUCCCGGCGGGGAUCUUUGGUUGGCGCUGGCGAUGCGCGGGGAAGAAAGGCGAGGAGCGGCGUCCAGGCUGGGUGAUGUCCCAGCACGAGUAGGCGGGAUGCGCUCGCUUGGUCCUCCGGGCGCCCGGUCCCUGCCCGCGUCGCGCGCCCACCCCUGGGGACGAGAAGGCGGCCGCCUGAGGACCCCCGCCCGCGACCUCCGCGAGUCUGGAGCGCAGAGGACAGGGUCUGGCUGCUCUUUGGCCUUGGAUGGAAAGUGGGGAAUUGGGUGGGGGGCUGCGGACCCCUUAACGUGGAUUACUUGGUGUGUAUCAGCUGGGCUCAGAAGACCCACGACCUCUUCUCCAUCCGUGGAUUGAUUUGUUCUGCUUAACAGCUGGGUCGCCAAGCUGGAGAAAACUACACAAAAGUGCCCAAAGCAGGAAAAACAUCCAAUUCACACAGUAAUGCUGGCAAUUUGAUAUAUUUCCUCACUGGUGAAAUCCUGCAAUGUAUACAACUUUUUCUCCUCCUCUUUUUUUGUGUAAUUUUAUUUGAACGUUUCCCCCAUGUCAUGACGGCAUGGUAACUGUAUUCUGCUGCAGGCGUUGACUCAUAAUUGGCUUGGCAAUUUCCCUAUUGUUGGAUACUAAGUUGUUUCCAAAGUUUUACCAUUAGAAGUAAUACAGUGAGCAUCUUUUGUACAUAAAGAUUUAUCCACA